rnacentral:rRNA from 1 species
UACAUGGGGUGCAAACGUUGCUCGGAAUUAUUGGGCGUAAAGCGCGCGUAGGCGGUUACUUAAGUCGGAUGUGAAAGCCCUCGGCUUAACUGAGGAAGUGCACCCGAAACUGAGUAGCUAGAGUACGAAAGAGGGUCGCGGAAUUCCCGGUGUAGAGGUGAAAUUCGUAGAUAUCGGGAGGAACACCGGUGGCGAAGGCGGCGACCUGGGUCGAGACUGACGCUGAGGCGCGAAAGCCAGGGGAGCAAACGGG